GACGAACGCUGGCGGCGUGCUUAACACAUGCAAGUCGAACGGAAAGGCCCUGCUUGCAGGGUGCUCGAGUGGCGAACGGGUGAGUAACACGUGGGUGAUCUGCCCCUUACUUUGGGAUAAGCCUGGGAAACUGGGUCUAAUACUGGAUAGGACCAUGCUGUAGGUGGUGUGGUGGAAAGAUUAGUUUCGGUAAGGGAUGAGCUCGCGGCCUAUCAGCUUGUUGGUGGGGUAAUGGCCUACCAAGGCGUCGACGGGUAGCCGGCCUGAGAGGGUGGACGGCCACAUUGGGACUGAGAUACGGCCCAGACUCCUACGGGAGGCAGCAGUGGGGAAUAUUGCACAAUGGGCGCAAGCCUGAUGAAGCGACGCCGCGUGGGGGAUGACGGCCUUCGGGUUGUAAACUCCUUUCAGCCAUGACGAAGCCCUUGUGGUGACGGUAGUGGUAGAAGAAGCACCGGCUAACUACGUG
rnacentral:rRNA from 1 species